rnacentral:rRNA from 1 species
UGGACCCGCGGUGCAUUAGCUAGUUGGUAGGGUAAUGGCCUACCAAGGCAACGAUGCAUAGCCGACCUGAGAGGGUGAUCGGCCACACUGGGACUGAGACACGGCCCAAACUCCUACGGGAGGCAGCAGUAGGGAAUCUUCGGCAAUGGACGAAAGUCUGACCGAGCAACGCCGCGUGAGUGAAGAAGGUUUUCGGAUCGUAAAACUCUGUUGUUAGAGAAGAACAAGGAUGAGAGUAAAAUGUCAUCCCUGACG